CCUUUUGUAUAAUGGGUCAGCGACUUAUAUUCUGUAGCAAGGUUAACCGAAUAGGGGAGCCGAAGGGAAACCGAGUCUUAACUGGGCGUUAAGUUGCAGGGUAUAGACCCGAAACCCGGUGAUCUAGCCAUGGGCAGGUUGAAGGUUGGGUAACACUAACUGGAGGACCGAACCGACUAAUGUUGAAAAAUUAGCGGAUGACUUGUGGCUGGGGGUGAAAGGCCAAUCAAACCGGGAGAUAGCUGGUUCUCCCCGAAAGCUAUUUAGGUAGCGCCUCGUGAAUUCAUCUCCGGGGGUAGAGCACUGUUUCGGCAAGGGGGUCAUCCCGACUUACCAACCCGAUGCAAACUG
rnacentral:rRNA from 1 species